rnacentral:rRNA from 1 species
UGGUAUUUUGACCAUACUAAGGUAUUGAAAUAAGACUUUAAUUGAGUGCUAAGAGAAUGGUUAAAUGAGGACAUACUUUUUUUUAUAAAAAAUUAUAAAUUUAAUAAAAUAUAAAAAUGUAUUUGUAUUUUAGUGGGACGAGAAGACCCUAUGAACCUUUUAUUAAAUAUAAUAUGUUCAUGUUAUAUUUAAUUUUUAUUGGGGCGAUAUAGAAAUAUUAAGUAACUUUAUAAAGAAUUUAUUUAAAAAAAAUAGAUAAGGUACUCUAGGGAUAACAGCGUUAUUAUUUUGGAUAGUUCAUAUAGAUAAAAUAGUUUGCGACCUCGAUGUUGAAUUAAUGAUUCUUUUAUGUGAAGAGGCAUAAAUAGAAAGAUUGCUCAUCUUUUAAAUCAUUA